rnacentral:lncRNA from 12 species
CAACUAGUUCCCAAAAUGCCAAAAAGUCUGUUCGCUCUGUUAUCUCCUAGGAACUCAGCCUUCAAGAGCCUUUGCUGCUGGUCCUAAACCAUUGACAGACAGCUAAGAACAAAAGUUAAAAAGUAAAUGGAACACCUACGAAAUGUUAAUCUCUUGCCACCACUUCAAAUCAUACCCAGGAUAUAAAAUUCAAAAUAAACCAAAAAGGAUAAUAGCUGGACUUCGUUCAAGCUGUUAGCAGACUCAAGAAGGAGGACCCUGACCUGAAAUAGAAUACGAAUAAAGAUGAGUAUGUUUUCUUUUUUCUGGCA